AGCGAACAUUGGCGGUAGGCUUAACACAUGCAAGUCGAGCGAGGCGUAAUAGUCGAGCGGCGAACGGGUGAGUAAUACAUGGGAAUCUACCCUGAAGUGGGGGAUAACGUUCAGAAAUGGACGCUAAUACCGCAUAAUCCACAUUGGGAAAGCGCGCUGCGCUUUAGGAUGAGCCCAUGGCUGAUUAGCUUGUUGGUGAGGUAACGGCUCACCAAGGCGACGAUCAGUAGCUGGUCUGAGAGGAUGAUCAGCCACACUGGAGCUGAGCCACGGUCAAGACUCCUACGGGAGGCAGCAGUGGGGAAUCUUGCGCAAUGGGGGCAACCCUGACGCAGCCAUACCACGUGUGCGAUGAAGGUCUUCGGAUUGUAAAGCACUUUCAGCAGGGACGACGAUGACGGUACCUGCAGAAGAAGUCACGGCUAACUUCGUGCCAGCAGCCGCCGUAA
rnacentral:rRNA from 1 species